rnacentral:misc_RNA from 1 species
GAUGAAGAACGUAGCGGAAUGCGAUACGUAAUGUGAAUUGCAAAUUCAGUGAAUCAUCGAGUCUUUGAACGCACAUUGCGCCCCCUGGUAUUCCGGGGGGCAUGCCUGUCCGAGCGUCAUUGCUGCCCUCAAGCACGGCUUGUGUGUUGGGCCCCGUCCUCCGAUCCCGGGGGACGGGCCCGAAAGGCAGCGGCGGCACCGCGUCCGGUCCUCGAGCGUAUGGGGCUUUGUCACCCGCUCUGUAGGCCCGGCCGGCGCUUGCCGAUCAACCCAAAUUUUUAUCCAGGUUGACCUCGGAUCAGGUAGGGAUACCCGCUGAACUUAAGCAUAUCAAUAAGCGGAGGA